GUGGGGCAGGAGGUUAGGCCAAACCAGCAGCGCCAGGUGGAGGUCUGGCUGUUGGACUCCUCCAUAGGCUGCUCCUCAGGAAUGGCCUUGUUUUUGUUCUUCUCAGUCCUGACAGGGCAGGAGGUUAGGCCUAACCAGCAGCGCCAGGUGGAGGUCUGGCUGUUGGUCUCCUCCAGAGGCUGCUCCUCAGGAAGGCCUGGUUGUCCUUCCUGUCCUCGAUUGUGGUGGGGAAGGAGGUUAGGCCAAACCAGGAGUGCCGUCUGGAGGUCUGGCUUUUGGUCUGCUACAUGGCCUGCUCCUCAGGAAGGACCUUUUGUUCUUUGUGUCCUCGAUCGUGGCAGGGCAGGAGGUUAGGCCAAACCAGCAGAGGCUGGUGGAGGUCUGACUCUUGGUCUCCUCCACAGGCUGCUCCUCAGGAAGGACCGGGUUGUUCUUCCUGUCCUCGAUCCUGACGGGGCAGGAGGUUAGGCCAAACCAGGAAUGCCGUCUGGAGGUCUGGCUGUUGGUCUCCUCCAUGGCCUGCUCCUCAGGAAGUCCUGGUUGUCCUUUGUGUCCUUGAACCUGACAGGGCAGGACGUUAGGCCAAACCAGCAGCGUCAGGUGGAGGUCUGGC
ensembl:lncRNA